rnacentral:rRNA from 1 species
UACGUAGGGUGCGAGCGUUGUCCGGAAUUAUUGGGCGUAAAGAGCUUGUAGGCGGUUUGUCGCGUCUGCUGUGAAAAUCCGGGGCUCAACCCCGGACUUGCAGUGGGUACGGGCAGACUGGAGUGUGGUAGGGGAGACUGGAAUUCCUGGUGUAGCGGUGGAAUGCGCAGAUAUCAGGAGGAACACCGAUGGCGAAGGCAGGUCUCUGGGCCACUACUGACGCUGAGAAGCGAAAGCAUGAGGAGCGAACAGG